rnacentral:antisense_RNA from 2 species
GGAGCGGGCUUGCUCGCGAAGGUGGAGUGUCAGUCAACAUCAUUGUUGCCUGACACUCCACCUUCGCGAGCAAGCCCGCUCC